AAGAUGGCACAGUUUGGUGGAAACACUCUGGCUUAGACUCAGGCUCUGGAGGCUCAAGUCAUGCCCCCACAUUUAGAAUCCUGUAUUGUUUACCUAGUUAUUUGACAUUCUGGCCUUAGUUUUGUCAUCUGUAAGAUGGAGGCAAUAAUACCUGCACAGUUUAUGGAGUUAUUAGGUGGCCCCAAGCAGGCGAUGGAGGGUACUUUGCAAGGUGAUACACAAAAGUGAGAAAUGACCGGGCCUCCCGUCUGUCCAAGGACAAGCAUGGUAAUUAAUUCUAACUUAGAAAACACUGGCUUCCUAUACAUUCUCCCAAUGUAACCAUUCCAUGGAUGAUGGCUCCAGGUAGGACCCUUGGCUUCCGGCAGGGUCUGCUGUGUGCACGGAGCACCCGUCAGCCUGGAGCAGACCUGAGACGCUGGCACAAGAACUGUCAUCUGGAGAAGCGUCACCUCCUGUCCGGCUGAGGUUCCACGGGGCUUCUGCCAGAGACCUGAAUAAAUGUUAUAGAACAGCCCAAUCUCACUGUCCUCCUUUGUCUUCCAGAAGCCCUUGCCCUGUCCUGAGCUUACUGACAUGGCCAAAAGACUGAAAAUGCUAACAAGACAGGGAGCCCCCCAUCUGCAAAUCCUGUUCUUACCCAUCAAGCUAAGCCA
rnacentral:lncRNA from 1 species